ACGCUGAGGCACGAAAGCCAGGGGAGCAAACGGGAUUAGAUACCCCGGUAGUCCUGGCCCUAAACGGUGCGCAUUUGCUGUGAGCGGAAUCGACCCCGUUCGUGGCGAAGCUAACGCGUUAAAUGCGCCGCCUGGGAAGUACGGCCGCAAGGUUAAAACUCAAAGAAAUUGACGGGGGCCUGCACAAGCGGUGGAGUAUGUGGCUUAAUUCGAUGCAACGCGAAGAACCUUACCUGGCCUUGACAUGCAAGUAGUAGAAGCCUGAAAGGGUGACGAUCCCGCAAGGGAAGCUUGCACAGGUGCUGCAUGGCUGUCGUCAGCUCGUGUCGUGAGAUGUUGGGUUAAGUCCCGCAACGAACGCAACCCCUGUGUCCUGUUGCCACCCCUUAACCGGGAGCACUCUGGACAGACUGCCUCGCUUCAACGAGGAGGAAGGUGGGGAUGACGUCAAGUCAGUAUGGCCCUUACGGCCAGGGCUGCACACGUACUACAAUGCCCGGCACAAAGGGAAGCAAGAGCGUAAGCUGGAGCAAAUCCCCCAAAACCGGGCCCAGUUCAGAUUGUCGUCUGCAACUCGACGACAUGAAGCUGGAAUCGCUAGUAAUGGCGCAUCAGCUACGGCGCCGUGAAUACGUUCCCAGGCCUUGUACACACCGCCCGUCACAUCAUGAAAGCCGGUUGCACCCGA
rnacentral:rRNA from 1 species